UGGGGAAUAUUGGACAAUGGGCGCAAGCCUGAUGCAGCCAUGCCGCGUGUAUGAAGAAGGCCUUCGGGUUGUAAAGUACUUUCAGCGGGGAGGAAGGUGUUGUGGUUAAUAACCACAGCAAUUGACGUUACCCGCAGAAGAAGCACCGGCUAACUCCGUGCCAGCAGCCGCGGUAAUACGGAGGGUGCAAGCGUUAAUCGGAAUUACUGGGCGUAAAGCGCACGCAGGCGGUCUGUCAAGUCGGAUGUGAAAUCCCCGGGCUCAACCUGGGAACUGCAUCCGAAACUGGCAGGCUUGAGUCUUGUAGAGGGGGGUAGAAUUCCAGGUGUAGCGGUGAAAUGCGUAGAGAUCUGGAGGAAUACCGGUGGCGAAGGCGGCCCCCUGGACAAAGACUGACGCUCAGGUGCGAAAGCGUGGGGAGCAAACA
rnacentral:rRNA from 1 species